rnacentral:rRNA from 1 species
UACAGAGGGUGCGAGCGUUAAUCGGAAUUACUGGACGUAAAGCGUGCGUAGACGGCUAUCUAAGUCGGGUGUGAAAGCCCCGGACUCAACCUGGGAAUUGCAUUCGAGACUGAAUAGCUAGGAUGCGGUAGAGGGAAGCGGAAUUUCCGGUGUAGCGGUGAAAUGCGUAGAUAUCAGAAGGAACAUCAGUGGCGAAAGCGGCUUCCUGGACCAGCACCGACGUUCAGGCACGAAAGCGUAAGGAGCAAACAGG